rnacentral:rRNA from 1 species
UGGGGAAUCUUCGGCAAUGGACGAAAGUCUGACCGAGCAACGCCGCGUGAGUGAAGAGGGUUUUCGGAUCGUAAAACUCUGUUGGUAGAGAAGAACGUUGGUGAGAGUGGAAAGCUCAUCAAGUGACGGUAACUACCCAGAAAGGGACGGCUAACUACGUGCCAA